rnacentral:rRNA from 1 species
GACGAACGCUGGCGGCGUGCUUAACACAUGCAAGUCGAACGGGAAGGCCCUGCUUUUGUGGGGUGCUCGAGUGGCGAACGGGUGAGUAACACGUGAGUAACCUGCCCUUGACUUUGGGAUAACUUCAGGAAACUGGGGCUAAUACCGGAUAGGAGCUCCUGCUGCAUGGUGGGGGUGGGAAAGUUUCGGCGGUUGGGGAUGGACUCGCGGCUUAUCAGCUUGUUGGUGGGGUAGUGGCUUACCAAGGCUUUGACGGGUAGCCGGCCUGAGAGGGUGACCGGCCACAUUGGGACUGAGAUGCGGCCCAGACUCCUACGGGAGGCAGCAGUGGGGAAUAUUGCACAAUGGGCGGAAGCCUGAUGCAGCCACGCCGCGUGCGGGAUGACGGCAUUCGGGUUGUAAACCGCUUUCGCCUGUGACGAAGCGUGAGUGACGGUAAUGGGUAAAGAAGCACCGGCUAACUACGUG